AACGAACGCUGGCGGCAGGCCUAAUACAUGCAAGUCGAACGGCAGCACAGCAGAGCUUGCUCUGUGGGUGGCGAGUGGCGGACGGGUGAGGAAUACGUGGGAAUCUGCCCAGUCGUGGGGGAUAACGUAGGGAAACUUACGCUAAUACCGCAUGCGCCCUUUGGGGGAAAGCCGGGGAUCUUCGGACCUGGCGCGAUUGGAUGAGCCCACGUCGGAUUAGCUAGUUGGAGGGGUAAAGGCCCACCAAGGCGACGAUCCGUAGCUGGUCUGAGAGGAUGAUCAGCCACAAUGGAACUGAGACACGGUCCAGACUCCUACGGGAGGCAGCAGUAGGGAAUAUUGGACAAUGGGCGCAAGCCUGAUCCAGCCAUGCCGCGUGAGUGAAGAAGGCCCUCGGGUUGUAAAGCUCUUUUGUUGGGGAAGAAAAGCCUUGGGUUAAUACCCUGAGGUUCUGACGGUACCCAAAGAAUAAGCACCGGCUAACUUCGUGCCAGCAGCCGCGGUAA
rnacentral:rRNA from 1 species